GACGAACGCUGGCGGCGUGCCUAACACAUGCAAGUCGAGCGGGGUCCAUCCAGUGGCAACACUGGGGAAGACCUAGCGGCGAACGGGUGAGUAACACGUGAGGAACCUGCCCCGAAGACCGGGAUAACCCGAGGAAACUCGAGCUAAUACCGGAUACCCCCACGAGAUCGCAUGGUCUUGUGAGGAAAUGUCUUUUCGCUUCGGGAGGGCCUCGCGGCCUAUCAGCUAGUUGGCGGGGUAACGCCCACCAAGGCAUCGACGGGUAGCUGGUCUGAGAGGACGAUCAGCCACACUGGGACUGAGACACGGCCCAGACUCCUACGGGAGGCAGCAGUGGGGAAUCUUGCGCAAUGGGCGAAAGCCUGACGCAGCAACGCCGCGUGGGGGACGAAGGCUCUCGGGUUGUAAACCCCCUUUCAGGAGGGACGAAAUUGACGGUACCUCCAGAAGAAGCCCCGGCCAACUACGUGCCAGCAGCCGCGGUAAU
rnacentral:rRNA from 1 species